ensembl:antisense Arhgap20os Rho GTPase activating protein 20, opposite strand
UCUCUUGAGUUUGUGCGGUUUGAGCAUGCGGCAAGGACGCUCCCCCGUGCCCGUGCCCGUGCCCGUGCCCGUGCCCGUGCCCGUGCCCGUGCCCGUGCCCGUGCCCGUGCCCCACUUGGAUUUCUAGACUCUGCUGCUGUAAAUCACCAUACAGUCUACUCAGCUGUCGCAGCGUACACGGAGCAGAGAAUAAAAGUCACCUCGAAGCCCGGUGCUUCUCUACCACAGAAGCUGUGAUAACGUAUUAAGGACGUUUCUAAGAAUGUGACGAAGAGAUGAUGUUAGAAAUUUCUGUGGCAGAAGGCCCAGCCAUCCCCGCUCUCUCCGUUUAGAACAGAGUGCACGAGUAGUUACAGAAAUAAAUGGAAUGGAUUUUACAUCUGGAGCUAAAGGCUGGGGUCCACGUUGGUUAAGCCUUCCCUACCUUCAACACAGAUGCUAUCACAAAGAUGGAUUCACAGUCAAGGUGGACUUCGAUUCCAGAAUUCAGUUUCUCCUUUAGCUCUCUGCAAGAUUUCAUGUUGGCCGACUGCCUGAAGAUGCCUUUUGUGAGGGGGCCUUUUUGGUUAAGGAAGGAAAGCAUAUCCUGCAAGGAAGCGGAGGAAAUACACUAAAGUGGGUGCUUUACACACGCCAGCACAGGAGCAGGUGCUGGCCUUCUGAGGCACUCAGAAGGCCGGGGUGUAUACACCGAAGGACUGGAGCUGGACGGAUGGCUAGAAGGAUUCAAAUGGCAUUUUUUUUUUAAACCUACAACAGAUUUUCUUUAUUGGACAGUUGAUGACAUAAUAUUGUUCUCCCACUAAAAUCAUGUCUCAACCCCCACCCCACCCCCACCGAAUACAUAUACACCAAAACAGAGACACAUGCGCACUGGCUUGCAAGGGAAUCGGGCUCUGGAUCCGACUUCACUUCUUAUUAGCCUGAGCAGUACCAAUGACACACUGGUUCACCUUGGAAGCAAAGCGUAGUGAACUCAGACUCGGAGACAUUCUCUUCCAGAGGAGAACUAUUCACAAACAUGAGCCUUGGCACUGCCACCCAGAGGGUUCUGCAGCAGAAAAAGCCAGGAAGUUCCGAGAAGGCACUCUCCACGGAAAUCUAUGUACCAAACACUGAGAAACUACAGAGCUGAGUGAGUCGAGGCUGCUGCAGGGAAGGUGACUCCUAUGAUCCAGAGCAGAGGCCUUAACUACACUCUUCCUCCAUUUACCCUGAGCAUCAAGGAUGCAAGCACCAUCUGUAUUUCCAAUAGAAAACAAGAGAAUGCAAGUCAAUGGAUAGAGCGGACAAAACCCCAAGUAAUUACUGUGAUGAAAUAACAAACUUGAAAAUCAUGAGUUUAAAGGUAGAAGAGUCGGACUAUCAUUUCCCUUGGCUCCCUUAAAUUCCUAUGGGAAUUUUUCAUUCAUCUACUAAAAGGCCCAUUAACUUGUUCAUUCAUCCAGUAAGUAUUUACCGGAUACUCAGAUUCUCCAGACCAGCAUCUGGCCUUCUCAUUUUAGGGGAUAAAAUCAAGGAUCUUUCCAAAGCAGCACCUCAAAAUAACCCAAAGAUGUGCCCAAGCAGCCUUGGAACCCCAAACCCAGUUUACUGUUAUAGGAGGGAAAACGAGGGUACAGAUUUAAGUACAUUUGCACAGCUGAUGUCUGCUCGGACUGCAGUGAGCUGUAACAUCUGGGGCCAGGUCACCAGGCACUGGCAGGGCUGACGUGUGUGUGGAGGUGUGCAUGAGACAGGUGAUCAGAUUGCCCAGCCAGGAUGAAUGAAUGUCUGGGGUUGGUCAUUAGUGACGAUGCCACUCUGCCCUUCUGCUGUACGGGUUCUUCAAAGUGCUCAGCAGACAUCUGGAGUCGGGACUGUGCUGGGCAUGUAGUGAAGUGAGUGGGGAUGAGAGCUCAAGUCAUCUGUGAGAGAGAUGGUGCUAACUGAAUGUAUGGAUACAGAAGCAGGCAAACACAAGCGGGAGAUGUGUGAGAAAGCGGUAGACUGGGUAGGUGAGGGAAAGGAAUACGGAGUAGAAUCGGGAGGUGAGAGGAAGAAAUAUGGGCUUACAGAUCGGAUAAACUUAAGGAGCAAAAGCUGUUGCAACAACCCCCCCCCCCCCACCUUUAUUUCUUUUAGCCCAAUAAAACCUCAGAACU